AAGACCCUAUGAAGCUUCACUGUUUCCUGGGAGUAUGUUUGGGCCUUUCCUGCGCAGCUUAGGUAGAAGGCGAAGAAGGCCUCCUUCCGGGGGCCCGAGCCAUCAGUGAGAUACCACUUUGGAAGAGUUAGAAUUCUAAACUUGUGUCAAGAUCUACGGGCCAAGGGACAGUCUCAGGUAGACAGAUUCUAUGGAGCGUAGGCCUCCCAAAAGGUAACGGAGGCGUGUAAAGGUUUCCUUGGGCCAGACGGAGAUUGGCCCUCGAGUGCAAAGGUAGAAAGGAGCCUAACUGCGAGACCCAACCAUCGAACAGGGAUGAGAGUCGGCCUUAGUGAUCCGACAGUGCCGAGUGGAAGGGCUGUCGCUCAACGGAUAAAAGUUACUCUAGGGAUAACAUACUGAUCUUCCCCAAGAGCUCACAUCGAUAAAAAGCGUCCAAUUUUACGUA
rnacentral:rRNA from 1 species